rnacentral:lncRNA from 10 species
GGAGCUCGGGGCGGGGUCGGGGGGUCGUGAUGGAUCCCGGCGCCGCGUCGCUCCUCCGAGUCUCGUCUGCCCGGCGAGGCGGCCCGGGCCCGACGUUUCUAGCGGAGGGAGCCGCGUGCCUGGGCCUGGUCUCUGAGGCCGCUGCGCUGCGAGAGGGGAGCCCGGGUGUGGGGAGGGGCCAUUCCGGGAGUUGACCCAGCUCUGAGGUCGGGCGGCCGCGGGGACCCUGACCUUCUGAGCCACCGGCUUCUGAGGAGACCCGGAGCCCCCUCCUGGAGAAGGCGCCCCGCGGCCCCCGUCCUGGGGCAAGGGUACCAGGGCAGUACUGGCCUGGGGCUCACGCGGGUCGGAGCGCAGCGGGGUGCGUCCCCUGGCGCUGAGCCUGCAGGGUCUCAGGGCAGCAGGGGAGGGAUGAGCAGCGGAGCACGAGGGUGCCUGGCCUUGUUCUGAGCCUUUUGGAGAGGGAAGUGAGCAGCCCAAGGUCACCGCACCACGGAGAGGUGUGUCGGCCCAGUCCUUCCUCCACUGUUUCACGAUGGCCAGCACCGCCUUCAACCUGCAGGUGGCCACCCCUGGGG